UACAGAGGCCUCGAGCGUUAGGCGGAAUUACUGGGCGUAAAGCGUGCGUAGGUGGUGAGUUAAGUCUGUCGUGAAAGCCCCGGGCUCAACCUGGGAAUGGCGAUGGAUACUGGCUCGCUAGAGUGCGGUAGAGGAGAGUGGAAUUCCCGGUGUAGCAGUGAAAUGCGUAGAGAUCGGGAGGAACAUCAGUUGCGAAGGCGGCUCUCUGGACCAGCACUGACACUGAGGCACGAAAGCGUGGGGAGCAAACAGG
rnacentral:rRNA from 1 species